AUUGAACGCUGGCGGCAGGCCUAACACAUGCAAGUCGAGCGGAUGAAGGGAGCUUGCUCCUGGAUUCAGCGGCGGACGGGUGAGUAAUGCCUAGGAAUCUGCCUGAUAGUGGGGGAUAACGUCCGGAAACGUGCGCUAAUACCGCAUACGUUCUGAGUGAGAAAGUGGGGGAUCUUCGGACCUCACGCUAUCAGAUGAGCCUAGGUCGGAUUAGCUAGUUGGUGGGGUAAAGGCCUACCAAGGCGACGAUCCGUAACUGGUCUGAGAGGAUGAUCAGUCACACUGGAACUGAGACACGGUCCAGACUCCUACGGGAGGCAGCAGUGGGGAAUAUUGGACAAUGGGCGAAAGCCUGAUCCAGCCAUGCCGCGUGUGUGAAGAAGGUCUUCGGAUUGUAAAGCACUUUAAGUUGGGAGGAAGGGCAGUAAGUUAAUACCUUGCUGUUUUGACGUUACCAACAGAAUAAGCACCGGCUAACUUCGUG
rnacentral:rRNA from 1 species